GGCUCCAGGGCGGCCGCUGAUUGGCUGCUGAAGGCUUGGUCCCAUCCCAGUGACCCCAAAGUGCUGGAGGGAGGGGGCGGGGGUGGCCCAGUGCAAAGUGCAUCCUGAAAGCCCCCCGCUUGGUGCCCUCGCAGCUGGUACCGAGGACCCUACCCAAGCCGAGACCUCGCUGCCCCGACAGCUCCCGUGUCCUCGCCUCGGAGCUGGGAGCCUCCGGCCCGGACCGCGGCAGCCCCUCUGCUCGGAGCCUUCAGACCGGGACCCCCCCCCCCGUUCCCGCCCGUCCCCGAGCCGGGACUUCCUCCCUGCACCCCUGCCCCGAGGCUGCCCCGCGGCCGGGACCGCCGCCUAGCGUCUGUGGAUGCUCGCCGGGCUGGGGCCGGGAGGCUCGGAGGAGGCUCCGGAACCCCCGUGUCCGGCCCUGCCCGAGGCAUUUCUUCAAUGGAGAAGUUGGUGAGUGUGGAGGAGGCUGAGAGGAGGAAGCGCCGCAGCAGCUGAAGAGACAGGUUUGGUGUUUGGCUCCCGGAGCCUGGAAAGCAAGAGGAGGCCUGCUCACCCACCUGGGAAGUAGCCGAGAGCUUCUAGCAGUAGCAUCCUCCGUGCAGGUGAAGGAAGCGAUCCAUCAU